rnacentral:rRNA from 1 species
AUCUGCCUAGUAGUGGGGGACAACAUGUGGAAACGCAUGCUAAUACCGCAUAAGCCCUACGGGGGAAAGGAGGGGCUUCACUUUCUUAGAGAGUGGACCUUUCGCUAUUAGAUGAGCCUGCGUGAGAUUAGCUAGUUGGUAGGGUAAAGGCCUACCAAGGCGACGAUCUCUAGCUGGUCUGAGAGGAUGACCAGCCACACUGGGACUGAGACACGGCCCAGACUCCUACGGGAGGCAGCAGUGGGGAAUAUUGGACAAUGGGCGCAAGCCUGAUCCAGCCAUGCCGCGUGUGUGAAGAAGGCCUUAGGGUUGUAAAGCACUUUCAGAGGGGAGGAAAGGCCGUUGAUUAAUACUUAACGGCUGUGACGUUACUCUCAGAAGAAGCACCGGCUAACUCUGUGCCAGCAGCCGCGGUAAUACAGAGGGUGCAAGCGUUAAUCGGAAUUACUGGGCGUAAAGCGCGCGUAGGUGGUUUGUUAAGUCGGAUGUGAAAGCCCAGGGCUCAACCUUGGAACGGCAUCCGAUACUGGCAGGCUAGAGUACGAUAGAGGAGUGUGGAAUUUCCUGUGUAGCGGUGAAAUGCGUAGAUAUAGGAAGGAACAUCAGUGGCGAAGGCGACACUCUGGAUUGAUACUGACACUGAGGUGCGAAAGCGUGGGGAGCAAACAG